GCAAUUGUGACUAGUUUUAGUUUGAAAAAGCUUUUUUCAUUGAUCUUGCUACAAUUUAACCCCUCAGGAGGUCUCAUAUCUGUCCAUUUUCUUUCAAUUUGCUGAUAGUCUUUCCCUGGCUCUUUCAAGUACUUCUCUGGUGGAGAGGGCCACGUGGCAAGGAACUGAAGGCACCCUUCAACCAACAGCUCGCUAGGAGUUGAGGCCCUCGGUCCAGCAGCACAGAAAGAACUUAAUCCUGUCCAAAAACCACUAUGCAAGCUUGGAAGUGGUUCCUGCCCUAGUGGAACCUUGAGAUGACUGCAGCCCUGGCUGACACCUUGCUAGCAGCCUUGUGAGAGACCUUGGGCAGAGGACCCAGCAAAGCUAUGCCUGGAUCCUAACCCAGAGGCUGGGAGGUGAUAACUGGAGAGGAAGGCUUUUUGCUGGAAGCUAUCUGCCUUGUUUGCUGUGAAAUCUCCAAUCUGUGGAACUGCACCUGCAUGUGGAGAGCAGUAAAGUGGCACCCAGAUAGACAACUGGUGAGAAACCAAUCAAGUCAACCCAUGCACCUUGAACUUCCUUA
rnacentral:lncRNA from 1 species